UCAGCAGCCCCGCGGUAAUACGGAGGGUGCAAGCGUUAAUCGGAAUUACUGGGCGUAAAGCGCACGCAGGCGGUCUGUCAAGUCGGAUGUGAAAUCCCCGGGCUCAACCUGGGAACUGCAUUCGAAACUGGCAGGCUGGAGUCUUGUAGAGGGGGGUAGAAUUCCAGGUGUAGCGGUGAAAUGCGUAGAGAUCUGGAGGAAUACCGGUGGCGAAGGCGGCCCCCUGGACAAAGACUGACGCUCAGGUGCGAAAGCGUGGGGAGCAAACAGGAUUAGAUACCCUGGUAGUCCACGCUGUAAACGAUGUCGACUUGGAGGUUGUUCCCUUGAGGAGUGGCUCCGGAGCUAACGCGUAAGUCGACCGCCUGGA
rnacentral:rRNA from 1 species